GAUGAACGCUGGCGGCGUGCCUAAUACAUGCAAGUCGAGCGAACGGACGAGAAGCUUGCUUCUCUGAUGUUAGCGGCGGACGGGUGAGUAACACGUGGAUAACCUACCUAUAAGACUGGGAUAACUUCGGGAAACCGGAGCUAAUACCGGAUAAUAUUUUGAACCGCAUGGUUCAAAAGUGAAAGACGGUCUUGCUGUCACUUAUAGAUGGAUCCGCGCUGCAUUAGCUAGUUGGUAAGGUAACGGCUUACCAAGGCAACGAUGCAUAGCCGACCUGAGAGGGUGAUCGGCCACACUGGAACUGAGACACGGCCCAGACUCCUACGGGAGGCAGCAGUAGGGAAUCUUGCGCAAUGGGCGAAAGCCUGACGGAGCAACGCCGCGGGGGUGAUGAAGGUCUUCGGAUGGUAAAACUCUGUUAUUGGGGAAGAACAUAUGUGUAAGUAACUGUGCACGUCUUGACGGUACCUAAUCAGAAGGCCACGGCAAACUACGU
rnacentral:rRNA from 1 species